ensembl:lncRNA
GUAACUGUGGUGUCAGAGCAGUUGUGAUUAUACUUGAUACAAUGUUUCCUCUGUAACCCUUGGACUUCACUGAGUGCACAUCUCUCUGAAAUAUAUGAGAACACUGAAGAGCAUCAUGGAAUGAAACAUCACUCUGUUUUUAAAAUAGCACAAACAUCAAGAGUUUUUAAACUGAAUAAAUGGAACGAGGACAUGAAAAAACACACACAGAAAGCUGCUGGAGCAUCAGAAACCACCGAGGAGCAAAAAACAAGAGGAAAGACAGAAACAGAGGCCAGAAAUGAAACAAAAACCAGUGGAGAGAAAAGCAGACAGAGGCUUGUUAGAUGUGACAGUAUGAAGAGAAGAAGGCCAACGUUCUCAGAUGAUCCACAGGGGCCUGUAAAGUUUGAUACAGAUGUUCUUAAGAACACACAACACACCACAGCAGAUCAAGACCAGAACAACAUCAUCAUCACAGACUCAAUCUGAAACUGACUAGUGAACGUUUCUUUCCUUGAUGACUAAUAACUGUAUUACCUC